rnacentral:rRNA from 1 species
UACGUAGGAGGCAAGCGUUGUCCGGAAUUACUGGGCGUAAAGCGCGUGUAGGUGGUGGGACAAGUCUGCUGUGAAAGCGCCUGGCUUAACCGGGCGAGGUCGGCGGAAACUGUCCGACUCGAGGACGGUAGAGGGGGGUGGAAUUCCCGGUGUAGUGGUGAAAUGCGUAGAGAUCGGGAGGAACACCUGUGGCGAAGGCGGCCCCCUGGGCCAGCACUGACGCUCAUGCACGAAAGCGUGGGGAGCAAACGAGGGAUUAGAAACCGUG